CUCAGAGGCACAGAUUCGGCUGGGACUGCGCUUUGUGCCCUUCCCAGGUCCGAGUAGCUCAGGAGUUUGGCGAGCGCGAUCGCCGCGGCUUGUCACCUUUUCUGCCGCUGCUGCUCAGCUUUCUGGGUGGACCGCUGGCGCCCCCUGUGAAGCAGAUGAUGACUGUCCAGCACCCCCCAGAAGUCUUAGCAAAGGAGCCUGCUUGCAGUUAGGUUCCAAACAAACUGGAAAAAAUGCUUGAGAAAAUGUUACCCAUGAUGAACCACCUGUCCACCCUCAUCAACCAAAGCCAGUUCAGCUCCCAGGCAGUUUUCUUGAAAACUUGCUUAGCCUGCAACUUCUGCAUUGGACUCCUGGCAGUGCUUGGAGCAAAGGGCAAUGGCGACUGCACACCAGGAAACUGAAAGCUUAAGGGACUUAUUGACAAUAUCAAGAUGACCAAUAUUUGGCACAAAAACAGACAUAUGGAUCAAUGCAACAGAACAGAGAGCCCAGAAAUAAAU
ensembl:lncRNA